GCCCCUGUAGCUCAAUUGGUAGAGCAGAUCCCUCUUAAGGAUAAGGUUCCGCGUUCGAGUCGCGGCGGGGGCA
rnacentral:tRNA from 1 species